ACUGAAACCUCAGUGAAAACAAUACUACUUAUGUGGCAAUCUUGAUCCAAAUUGAAGAAAAUCACCUGAUGCAUUUUAUUUCCCACCUCCACUAUAUGAUAAAUAUCAUGACAUUUACAUUAGUAAAUAUGUUCUAAUGGUAUGCCUCCUUUUGGCAAGUUGGUGUUGAUCUACAUUAUCACUUGAUAAAUGCCAGGAAGACUAACAUCAUAAUCAAUAUCAUGUAUAAAUCCACAUUUGCUAUUAUACAUGUUAUGGUUUCCUCGGACUGGACUGGGAGGGUUUUAUUCUGGCAGGAAAAGGCACUCUUUUUAUUACUGCCUUUGGCUUGUUUCAUAAUGCGAAAUUAGCUCAGUAAAGUUAAUGUCAUGAUCAAAAUCAUUUUUUAUAACAUAUAUUGCAGUUGUAAUUCACAGAGAUCAUGUCGGAUGCAGGAUUAUAAAGUAAGUCCUGUGGAAUAAUCUAAUGAAGAUAAUGGCUAUAUUGCUGUCAUGUAAAGUUGAGAGUUUUCUUUGCCCAUAAAAUUGCAAGCAAAAGUGUGCUAAACAAAAGCCUAAUAAAUUGUUCACAUUGGCCUUGUGAAGAGAGAAUUACCAAAAACAAAAUCAGAUCUGGACAAGGAACAAAAGUAUGAUUGAUCCUUUGAUUCAAAGGAGCAACAACAAAAGCAAUGUGCUUGUUCCACAAUGUAUCUAAAUCCCUGUUGAAAUCCAGUGACAUCAAGAAUGCAUCAAUUGAAUUAUUGCACAUUGGUGCAUCACACAGUAAAUCUGAUCAGUUUAAACAGCAGUCUGAUCUUAAAAGAAACACUAUGCUUCUGCUCUAAUGCUUUUCUUGGAGGUCAUUUAAAAGGUUCAUAAUUUUUUUGUCAGAUCAUGGGUUGCAUGGAGACAAAUCCAAAUUUAACAUCAAUCUAAUUACUGGGAGUGGGGGAGGCAGGUAAGAAUAAAUAAUUUUGGAAAGGGGCAGAUUUUGUGGUCCCUGGGCAUUAUAGGGACCCAGAAAUGAAGUACUAGUUAAGAUAAUACCCUGUUUUCCCAAAAAUAAGAUAUACCCCAAAAAUAAGCCCUAGGAUUUUGGAGGAUGCUUGAAAUAUGUCCUGCUUCAAAAAUAAACCCUAGUUACUGUCUAUAGAAAAAGUCAAUUUGGAAAAAUAAGACAUCCACUGAAAAUAAGCCCUAAAACAUCUUUUGGAGCAAAAGUUAAUACAAGACCCUGUAUUUUUUGUGAAAUAGGGUUAUUUUUACAAAAUACAUAUAUUAAAAUACACAGAACAAUGAUGAAAAUGUAAUGGACACAAGACAUGAAUUUAAAAUUCAUGAUUAAAACUGGCAAGGGUUAGGUGUUAAAACCUGGACUCACCCUAAGUUGGCUCCUACCUAUCCCCAUUAUGUUUCUCCAAUUCCAGUGAGUAUUUCAGGUUAACUCGGGUUAAUCCUGCAUUACCUCACUUCAGUAAAAGUUGAGGGAUGUGCCAGAGUUUGCUUGACACUCCAGAGUACCCAAUGGCGUUAGGUUAGUGAGGCCAACAGGAUAAGAUUCAUUUCAGACUGUCCACUGUUUACGUGGGGCAUCACCACCAUUGCCAUUCCCUUGACCUCAUUGGUACAGGGGGAAGGAGAUAGAUCUACCCAGCUGGUCACAGAGCUCCAUGUGGGUUCCUGGCAAUUGUGAGCUGCUGACUGCAACCGAAGCACACUCAUCAUCAGGAAGAAAUUGAGGAUAUUGGCUCUGCACUCAAGUAAGAACAGAGGUAACAACAUGCAAAGAAGUGGCAUUCAGAGGAAUCUUGGGAAGACUGCCACCACUGAUCUCUCUACAUUCUGUGUGGUAAUAUUGUCUCAUUGUGUGUCAAGAUAGGAUUGGACCUUUAUUGAAAUGUAUGAGUUUGGGUCUCGCAGUAAAAUGAAAAUGUUAAAAGUAUUUGUUUGAGGGAAGAGUGAUCAUCUUCAUCAGUGCACUGAAAUCCCUCCAUCGCUGAUUACAUUAAAAAAGCAUGUUUUCUGAAAGUGAUUAUCCUUCAUGCCAUACUGAGGAACGGAUGUGCAUUUUUCCUUUAAUGCUACUGCAAUCCAAAAACAAGUUAAUUCCCAUCCACAAAGUUAUUAGCAUCAUCAUCUGAAUGGCUAUUGGGUUUUUGUGAAGUAGGAGUGGUUGUAUUAAGAGCAAAAUGGAAUAUUUGUCUUAUACUGCAUAAAGCUCUCAUUUGUAUCAAAGCUGCAGUCUGCACAUAUGGCAAGCAGACCUUAGCAGAUUUAGGCAGGUAGACAGUUUUUAUGAGUCUUUUACAUCUUUAGAGGUAUAUUACCUGGCCUCCCUUCAAAGCCUUUAGCAAAAUGCAUCUUGUUUGAGUUUGCUCAGGAAUGGCUUUUAUCUGCUUUUACUAGAAAUCUGUCUGAUCACUGACAGAUGCAAGGGACAACAUUUUAUGGCAGGGAAGUGUGAUAUGUGAAAAUUAUAUUUUGAUAACUGAUAAAGCUACACGUGACAACACAACAAAAUAAGACAUUCGCUUCACAUAAAACAUCAUUAAGUUUUAUAAUUGGAAUUGUAGUUUAACACAACCACUUCUAACAAUAGGUAAUCGGUUGCAGGGCUAAAAGAAAAAUCCCAACAGUUUUUCAAAUCAAACAUCAAUGAUUCAAUUUCUUUCCUUUUACCUUCACAGUAGGAAUGUUGUCUCUUAUGACAGAUCCAAAGGUUUUCAAGCCUCAGAAAGUCUAAGGAGUGCAGUAUGAAUUUUCAAAGUAAAAGAAAAUAAAAGUGUGUGUGUGAGAGAGAGGGGGGGGGAGGGAGGGGGGAGGGAGAGAAACCAUGAAAAUGUUAGAAAUACAAAGGCUGGAAUUUUCUUUAUUCACAUUCUAGUACUAUACCUAUUUCACGAUUCAGGGAUAGGAUAUCAGAAAGACCACCUAUGCGUGCACAUAUAAUUCUGCUCAUAUUUAUGGUGUUCUACAUCCUACCACCACUGACUACAUUAUUGAUGAUGUUCUGUAUCUCAGCUAUGGACUAUCCCUGCCUCCACUGAGCAAGAUUACCAAAUAUUAAGAAGGCAAGAGAAAUAAAUUGUUUUCUUUUGGGCAUUUAGCAGAUAGCAAUAUUGUUUUGUUUUGUGUUUUUUAAAAAAAUCUUCUGGUUUUCUUUGCAAAGAAAAAAUGAUAUUAUUGUAUUAUUAAAAAUUGCUUUAAAUUGUGCACUGCUUUAAGAUUAUUGGUCAGAAAAGGAUUAAAGGUAUAGUAUGUUAUAACAUGUGACAGAUUUUAUAUUUCUAGGCGCGAAGAUCACUGCCAGAUGCAGACUGCAGCCAGAAAAUCAGAAGAUGCUCUCUUCUUGGGAAGAUAGCAAUGGCCAACCUCGAUAAAAUAGUGAAAAGCAGAGACAUCACACUGGCAACAAAGGUCCGCAUAGUUAAAGCAAUGGUAUUCCCCAUAGUAACCUAUGGAUGCAAGAGUUGGGCCAUAAGGAAGGCUGAGCGAAGGAAGAUAGAUGCUUUUGAACUUUAGUCUUGAAGGAAAAUCCUGAGAGUGCCUUAGACUGCAAGAAGAUCCAACCAGUCCAUACUCCAGGAAAUAAUGCCCGGCUGCUCACUGGAGGGAAGGAUAUUAGAGGCAAAGAUGAAGUAUUUUGGCCACAUCAUGAGAAGACAGGAAAGCUUGGAAAAGAUCAUGAUGCUGGGGAAAAUGGAAGGAAAAAGGAAGAGGGGCCAACCAAGGGCAAGAUGGGUGGAUGGUAUCCUUGAAGUGACUGGCCUGACCUUGAAGGAACUGGGGGUUGGCGAUAGCCAACAGGAAGCUCUGGCAUGGACUGGUCCAUGAGGUCACAAAGAGCUGGAAACGACAAAUGUUAUAACAACUCAGAAAACAGAUUCAGUGUGGUGGAGGAGAUAAAGGCUCUUCAUGGAUCCAGGAGAUGGUCAACCCAUCUGCCACUGCAGAUCACAUCUAUCUAGGUGGUGUGAGGGCCAAUUCAGCCUGAUCAGAACAGGACCAGUCCUACUAGGAGAUACAUUGCAGCACAUAUGGAAUCAUUACAUGAGAAGGCAGCCGCCUUUUCAUGCCUGAAAUCUUCGAUUACGAAGGAGGCUCGGGAGGGUAGAAUCUUGGGCACUUUCAGUCAGCCUCAAGUUAUUUGAAAUCUGCAAGAAACAGCAUAAAAUAGGUAACUCGUUCAUAAAAGUUGCCCUUAGUUCAAUCCACUACUAUUAUCUGGUCUCUUAUUUACCUGGCUUGUCAGCAAGGAGUGCAGCUUUUGUGCAGAGAAAGUCCCAAUCUGCAAAUGAUAUUCAAAAAUUGUAUUUCAUGCAGCAGGGGAAAAAUCCUUCCACUGAAAACAAAAUAAGCACAAAAAAAAAACCCACAUCUCUAAGAAACAAUGUGCACAGAACUACUAAAUAGGCCCUUCUACAGUUAGCAUUAAAUAGCCAUGUGUAAAGUUUGUGUGUCUGAACAAGAGGAUUGGUAGCUUUUAGUUUACAUUGUUUCUGUGGAAAUCUGUUCCUGCCCCCUUUCAGCUGCUGUGUGAAUUUCAUCUAAGGUCAGAUAGAAUAGGAUGUCUGAGUAAGUUAGCAGAUGAAAUAAUCUUCCUGCUGAUCAAAGAGGCAAAACACUUUGACCUAUAAGUCUUGUCUUCACAACACCACUGAUAUUGAUCAGGAAAAAUAAAUGAUACACUUCUUAUGAAUUGUUAUGUUUCCUGUUAGAGAGUAGUAACCUUUUCUUCUGCUUCAGGUUUUCAUUUAUGCUCUGCUUCAUGAUUCCAUUUUUACUUAUUUGCUAUCACCAGGAGGGAAGACUUGCUUAUCAGCAUUAUCUGUGUCAAAGUUUCCAAGAGGAACCUACAAAUCAAAUGUUAAGGUGAGGAACCUUGAUCGUACUUGAAGAAAGGUUAAGAUAUAAAAUUUUAAGAAGAUUGAUUUUGGACUCUGCUGCUCUUCCAGUUAAUUAACUAAAGGCAGAAGCAGCUCAAAGAUCCACAUUAAUAUUAAUACUCUAUAAGAGAGGACUUCCUUCCAAUCAUCCACAGCUGAGAUGGAUCAAAGAGACUUUUCAUAAAAUGCACAAUUUGGCCUCCAGUGUUUUUGCUAGCAUUUUGGCGAGCACUUUUAGGAGAGCAAAGCAUUCCUUUCAGAUUGAUUAUUAUAAGAGUAGUACUUUUCCUUUGCCAUUAAUUAAUCAAGAUAUCCCCAGGUACAUUAAACAUGCUUUGUUAUACAUGUGGUAAUUUCACAUCUCUAAAAAUCUUCAGCUCUGACCACUAUAUAAAAUCACAGCCUCAAAGGCUAUCCCACCCCCAUUUUAUUUUUUGUAUACACACCCUAGGAAAAUAAGUUUUUCAGUUUGAAAAGAUACUGGAGCUCACUGGUUCAGAAUUCUAACUACCUCCUGCCAAAACUGCAAUUCCUGGGAAUCCCAUAGAAGGAAAAUGAGAGUAAGUGGAUUUAUAGUUUUAUAAUGAUGUAGUAUGAAGCUACAUCAAGUAAGUAUGCAUAGGUUUGCAACCUUACAUAUUUAACAUUCCAUCAUUUAUUUAUUUAUUGAAUUUAUAUCAUGCCUUUCUUCCAACAUAAAUUCUGAAAUUUAUAUUUGUUGUCAGAUUAGAAAUUAGAUGUGCAAAUGGUUUGCUUGAAGUUGCAUCUACAUAUACAGAGUUUGUUUUCUUAGGAAUGGAAGUCAGCUAAAACAGUUUUUGAUAUUAUUAUUAUUAUUAUUAUUAUUAUUAUUAUUAUUAUUAUUAUUAUUAUUAUUAUUAUUAAUUUUCCUGUACCUAAUUGAAAAGGUUGGAAAACCUCCAGCCUAAAGACUAGAUUAAUUGACAGAGCAUCUGUAUAUGGUCCACACAGACAGCAGUGUUCCUGUUCAAUCAGAUAGCAGGUCAGGGAACAGGGAUUCAGCCUGUGUUAGAUGAAGUUAGAUUCUCCUUGAAGGCACAGGUUCAUAAUUUUGAUGUACUCCUGGACUGAACUUUGAACCUGGAAGCCCAGGUUACCACAGUGGUCAGGAGUGCCUUCACACAUUUAAACCUUGUACACCAACUAUACCUGUUCUUUGAGUCAUCCAAACUGUUCGUGGUGGUACAUGCCUUAGUUACAUCAUGUUUGGAUCAUUGUAAUACACUGAACUUCAGGCUGUCUUUGAAGGAUGUUUGGAAAUUUUAGCUGAUCCAAGGAGCUGCAGCCAGAUUGUUAGCCAGGACUGGCUACAGGGAACACAGAACUCUUUUCAAAACAUUGUUGCUGACUGGCAGUUCGUUUUGGUUAUGAUUUAUAAAGCCCUAUUUAUAGGCUAUUUGACAGACCAUAUAAGUUAGCCUGGGCACCAUCAGAAGAGGUAUUUCACUUAAUUCUACAUAUCACUAUCACAAACACAUUUGCUCGCUCUGUGUGUGUGUGUGUGUGUGUGCGCGCGCGUGGUGGUAGUGGGAGUCCUGGUGGCAGCCCCUGGGUUCUGGACCUGUCAGGCCAAAACCUUUUUCAUUUAAACAGGCUUUUAAAACUGAAAUGUUCUUUUUGAUAAAUAUGCAAAGUUAAAAAUUUAAAAAAAUAUUUCUAAAAAGCUGAAUGAACUACAAUGUGCUGAAUUGUUUUUAACAGCUCUUUUGUUCAUUUUUAAAUUGUAUUUUUAUUAAAUAGUAUUAAUAAUUGUUUUAGUUUAAUCCUCUUUUAAUUUAUACCUUUCAUAUGUUUUAGCUGUAUUGUUUUUCAAGUUGUUUGACACUUUGUGUCCCAACCUAAGGAAAAUGUGGGGUACAAAUAACAACAACAAUGUACUGGAGGUAAUAACUUAUUGGCUGUUUUAUAAGCCAACAAAAUUGUUGCAUUGAAUUAAACUGUAUAUAGCACUAUAGGAAGCUGUUGCAUUGAUCUGAAUUGCUUCUGGUGUCUUGGAAGAGUAUAAACAUGCCUUCUCCCAUAAAAUCCACCUCACACACUUAGGCGCAUCACCCAGAGGACAUUUCAUUGGCUACCCCAAGACUAACUCCGACAGCUGAAAGAGCUGUCAACAUUUAAAAACCAUCUAAAAACCUAUCUCUUCCAGAAGGCCUACCCAGGCAGUUUUAAACAUUUUAAAUCUAGGUCUUAAUGAAGGACAUAAGGAGAAAUGAUCCCAUUGCCUAAAAUGGCAGGAAGGGGAGCCUGGGGAGCUCCCCCAUUACUACUAAUAGGCUGGAUCUAGCCGUAUUUUUCAGUUGCAGUCCAAAAACACCAUCCAGGCUGCACACCCGUUUUCUGUAGGUACAAGAAAACAGAUGGGAGUCCACCGGUAUUUGGCCAGCAGAAACAGAUCAAUAUUCAGCUAAAAUGCACAAGCCUGGUAUUUAUAGAUUAUUUACAAUGUUUAUGUGUUUUGAUAAUGCUGUAACCUGCCUUAAGCCAUGAAAAGAGGCAGGUAAAAAAUAAAAUAAUGAAGAUGAUGAUGAAUAUUAACUUGAGCUUACUCCAAACAAGACCUGCACAAAACUGAGCUAUGCCUAGUAUACCUCAUGAAAAAAUAUCAAUAUUUGCAAGGAUUAUAUCUAAUAUAUCUACUUUUUUGGAUUUAUUCUGUAUAUGUGUCCCCAUCCAUUGUAUGAAUGUUUACCCCACAGAUUUUCCAAAGCUGGAAUUAGGCUCAAUGCUAUUGUUAAUGCUCCUAACGAAAUAACACCACUACAAUAACACCCACCUCCUUCUCCUCCUCUCGUCUUCUCAUUCUCAUUUCCCCUCUUCUUUACACUAUUGCAAAACAUGAUUUGCAGAGGUGGAUUAUAAUGACCUUCUCACUGAUAGUUUCUUUAUUGAUCACAUCUCAAAUAUUCACAAGCUCUACUCUUAGACUCAUAGCUCAUUUUUAGAAAUUACGAAGAUGCAGGUGUGUUAUCCGUCCUUCCUUGUUUUUAAAUAUACUUUGAGGAAAUAACUCAAGAUCUGUACCUUAUAAAAUCAUACAUAAUAGACAUAAAGACUCCUAAUGUAUGAAAGCAUUAGCUUUUAUAAGAAAAACAUAUUUUCUCAGAUCUUUCAAAGGAGAUGCCUUAAGACCAAGGCUGUCAAAAGCCAUGAGUCUUUCUCAUUUUUCAGAAUCUUUUAGGAACUCUCACUGUGACUUUUUCCUCCUCCAUGGGAAUUCAAGGGUUAUUUUGUUUAUUUCCCAGGUACAGAUUUUGUAGAAUUUUCCUAAGUUUCACAUUCUCUACUUUUUUUGUUGGCCAAAAAUAUUUUUACAUAUUUUACAUGUAUGGAUUCUACUCAUGCGUAUUUUCAAAGUAUCUGUACGGUUUUGUUACCACACCCUCUCUCUAAAAUUGAAAGCUUGUAAUUGUAGGCACUUAUAAAGCAGAAAGUGUUGCAUCCUAUUUCCAAUUUUAAGGAUUACAGAACUGAUAUUUAUGUGUGGAAAAAUGAACCCAAUGAGUUUAUUUUCUCUUUCUACUCAGGACUUCUUCACUCAGUACACUGUUAUAUGUAAACCAGAGAUUUAGAAACAUAUUAGCAUAGAAAGAAUGGGCUUCAGUUCCUUUCCUGGCAUGCAUUUGACUACAUACCCAGAUUUACUUCCAGAGAGUGUUGAAUAAUCUAUUGACAGCAGGUUUAUCUGAUAUUAUUGAAUUGCAGCUGUCCGAUUUAAACUGAAUAUAAUCAACAAAAAUGUGACAAAUAUUUCUACCUUGUUCUUUUGAUUUUUGUACAUUUAUUUUUUAAUGAAAAGAUUUAUUUCCUGUACUAUAUUUCAAUAUCUCAAGCUGGUAAAAAGGUAAAGGUUUCCCCUGACGUUAAGUCCAGUCAUGCCUGACUCUGGGGGUUGGUGCUCAUCUCCAUUUCUAAGCCGAAGAGCCGGCGUUGUCCAUAGACACCUCCUAGGUCAUGUGGCCAGCAUGACUGCAUGGAGCGCCAUUACCUUCCCACUGGAGCGGUAUCUAUUGAUCAACUCACAUUGGCAUGUUUUCGAACUGCUAGGUUGGCAGAAGCUGGAGCUAACAGCGGGCGCUCACACAGCUCCCGGGGUUUGAACCUGGGACCUUUCGGUCUGCAACUUCAGCAGCUCAGUGCUUUAACCCACUUCGCCACCAGGACUCCAAGCUGGUACAAAAUAGAAUUAAAUUAAACAAUGUAAAAUGUAAAACAGUAAUAAUAAUUUGCACUCUAAAGUAUAAAACUACAUAACAAACCAAAAGAGGUUUAAACAGUUAAAACUGCAAUCAGGUGCAAAUUGGAUAAUAUUGCAAGAUCUCAAAGGCUUUAAUAUCAAACCAUUUUUUAAAAUGUGGUGCCAGAAUAAAAAAGAUGACACCUCCAGCAGACCACAUACAUAGGGAAAGGUACUCCUUCAGUAUCAAGGUCUCAAGCUGUUCAAAGCUUUAAACCACACCUUGAAUUCAAAUGAGAAGCAUGUGAGGGCCAAUACAAUUCCUUUAAGGCAGUGGUUCUCAACCUGUAGGUCACCAAGUAUUUUGGCCUUCAACUCCCAGAAAUCUCAGCCAGUUUACCAGCUGUUAGGAUUUCUGGGAGUUGAAGUCCAAAACAUCUGGGGACCCACAGGUUGAGAACCACUGCUUUAAGGCUAAAGUUAUAUGAUUUCUAUGCAAAGUUCUGGUCUGCCAUCUACCUGUGACAUAUUGAACUAGCAGCUGCUUCUGAGUUGCCCUCAAGACCAGCUCCAAAUCCAACAAAUUGCUGUAAUCCAAAUGUAAAGUUACAAGUGCACAAACUACUGUGGCAAAUGCUCUAAAGCUGUAUACCUAGCUACUCCCUCAGCCAGUGUGACACCCUACAGAGGACAGGUCAUUUACCUGAUUCUCAUGCAUGAAAGUCACUGCCUUCGGAGCCUCUGUCUUAUCUAGAGUCAGCUUCAGUCCUUUACAGCAACAAGGCACUGGUGAAUGGUUAGCAUAGCACUAGAAGCUUCUGACAAAAUGGGAAGGUAGAGCCAGUACCCCAAAACCAAAUCUCCCAGUGACCUCACAUAAUUGCUUUAUGUAGAGGGCUGAAUAGGAACUCCCCAGCGUUGUUUGGAAGUGGGCCCAGAUAUAGAAACUAAAACAUAGCAUCUCUUACUCCCAUCCCACAAAGUCAAGUAAGAUAUUUAAUUAAUGAUAUUUAUUUAUUCAUUGUAUCAGAAGUGAACUGAGGAAAUCAAUGAUAUAAAAAGCUGCUUAAAUAUCUAGGAAUAUCAACAGGGUUGCAUUCCUGCAGUUUUCCCCUUAAGUAGUUCAUCGGUUAGAAUAAUUAUGGCCAUUUCAGUUCCACACUCAAGCCUGAAACUAGACUGGGAUCCUCCAGAUAAUCUGAGGUUUUCCACAUGGAAAGAGAUAGUAGCAAUAGAAAGAAUGUUCUUAUAUACUUAUGGGUCAAGGCAGAGAGAUCUCAUUUGGAGAGAGUUUUAAGGAGUAAUACAGCUGGGUAUCUUCAGCUUCUUGAAUGUACCUAGCCUUCAAAUUCUAACUAUUUUAGGUAGUAUUUUCAUGUAAAAUUGAACAAAAUGGGAAUAAGGCUGACAAAUUAAAGAAAACAUAACCCAACAUAUGCAUGAAAGGAGAAAAUAUAUUUUCACAAGAUUUAUUAAAACAUUUAGACUAAAUAUAUAUUUGCAUGUACAUCAUGCAGUUAUUGCAGUUUAAUACCACUUCAGUUGUCAUGGCUCCAUCCUAUAGAAUCCUGAGACUUAGUUUAAUCAGGUAUUGAGAAAUUUCUGCUGGAAAGCUUUAGUUCAAAGUAGUUUUUCAGUAAGACAUGGUCCUCUUCAUGAUGUGGAUGUGGUGAAUCUGCUUGAGGAUCAUUCCAGAUUUUGAAUAACAAUGCCGGUAAGACUGUAGUGUUAAAAAUAUCUGCUCUGAACUUCAUUUGGCAGCUUGUCAUCUGUUAGCAUUGUUGGUUUCAAUUAAAAGCUGUCCAAGCAGCCUUGCAUCUUCUUGCCCAUUCGCCAUUUGUCAAAUUAUUUGACUGUACUUGUUGACCAAGAUAGAUAGAUAGAUAGAUAGAUAGAUAGAUAGAUAGAUAGAUAGAUAGAUAGAUAGAUAGAUACAGUCACUUCCUCAAUUUCAUUUCUGUUUCUUGGGGCUCCAUGAAAAACUUUUGCUUCAAAAAGGGCUCCAUGGCUGAAAAAGUUCGAGAACCCCUGCUUUAAAGUGAAGUUCAUGGUGUGGCUGCCAUUGCAAUGCAAGUAGAGCUCUCUAAGGAGCAUCUACAUAAGCCACAAAAUCAGUGCUGAUUUGGAGUUGGCUAUUCUGGAUCAGCAUUGCCAUGGUCUGCAUGGCCAGCCAUUGAGCUAGCUCAUAAGCUGGUGGGUAUCUGCACAGCAGGCUCCUGACAUCUGCAUGGCCCAAUGACACCAGAAGCAAUUUGCCACAGCUUAACAGCCACCCUUAACUUGCCUCCCCUAUUCUGGGUUGCCCAGUGGCUACUGGGCAUGAAAAUGGUGCUGAUCACUACUCAG